GUCGCUCACGAGGUCGCGCCUCGCACCCGCCUUCCUCCUUUUCUUUUACCCUCCCCUUCAGAAAAAACGGCGGUUGGGCUGCGACGGCCGCCAAAGGCGGACUAGAAGCGGAGGGGUGAAAAUCCCGGCAGAGAAGGAAGAAGGGACUGCAGGCGGGAGGAGGAGGAGGAUAAGGAGGAAGGGAGCCCGCCCAGCCGGAGCCAUCUCCGUCGAGAACAAAAUGGCGGCGCUGGCGGAGGGCCAACUAUAAGGCGGGGCCGCGGCCAUUCCCCCUCCACCCCCACCCUUGCGCCGGCCGGGCCGGUCAGGGGGAACCCGCUCGCUUCGCCCGGCCGCGGGCGGGGAGGGGAGGGGAGCGGCCCGGCCCACUAUGCAAAGCGCCGGGCGCCGCCGCCGCCACCCCGUGGCAAAGGUCGAGGGGUUAAUGCUCUGGAAGACGGAUGAAAAGGCACUGCCCGAGAAGCGGGGUGAAGACAGCGGGAAGCUCAUGCUCACAGGCCGCUCUGUAACUGAAAGAAGCCACAUGGAAGGGAGAAUCCACAUAUUGGAAAAUGGUGCCCGAACCUCUGUUUCCUCCCUCCAUGGAGUGAAUAACUCCCUCCAGGGAAAGCGGUUUCAGGCAUGAACCAUGGACCACAGAGAAGCCACUGGAGCCUGGGGAGAAGCCACCAGGCCACUUGGAAGAAGGCAAGUGGUCCCCAGGUUACCUCUCAUCAGGCCCGGGACAGCCCUGCCCCGCUUCUUCAGCUCCCCGAAGCAGCCGUCGCAGACCUUGGCCAUCCUGUCCUUCAGCAACAGAAUUGGCUGAGUAAUGUGGAAUGUGGCCAGGAGACCAGCCAGAUGCAGAGCCCAGUGAGCCCUGCCCUGCGUCUCUGUGCAGGGUGUGUGAUGUGUGGCUUCCCAGACAGUCAUCCAACAGGCACUUUCCAAGUCCCUGCUCUGCACCAGGGAGGGCUUCCUGAGUGGCAAGAGCUACGCCUGGGCUGGGUGCCAGCUAGCUGGGUGAAGUUCUCACAGUGUCCACUAGAUGCCGCGCCUACACCACAGGGUCUCACUAUGUUGCCCAGGCUGGUCCCAAACUCCUGGCCUCAAGUAAUCCUUCAGCCUCAGCCUCCCAGAUUGAUGGAAUUACAGGUAUAAGCCACCAUGCCCCACCUAAUAAAUGAUUUUAAUGAGAAAAUGCA
ensembl:lncRNA FGD5-AS1 FGD5 antisense RNA 1